GAUGAAGAACGCAGCGAAAUGCGAUAAGUAGUGUGAAUUGCAGAAGUACCGUGAAUCAUCGAAUCUUUGAACGCAAAUUGCACUCUCUGGUAUUCCGGGGAGUAUGCCUGUUUGAGGGUCGCUUAACAAACCAUCGAUUUCGUUGCUUUUUUUUAAAGAGUGAUGUUUAUCGGAUUUGAGCCGUCUUUUUUUUUAUAUUUAAGUGGCUUAAAAUUGAUUUUUUUGGUACGAUCGAAGCGUAUUUUUAUGAUCAAUUUUUGGUUAAAGAAACGCACACGUACCGUUAUUUAUAUGAUGUAAUACGUUUGACUAUUGGAUUUAGUUCAUUCGUAUACGAUAUUUUUCAAUAUUUGACCUCAAAUCAGGUAAGAACACCCGCUGAACUUAAGCAUAUCAAUAAGCGGAGGA
rnacentral:misc_RNA from 1 species